UACGGGGGGGGCAAGCGUUGUUCGGAAUUACUGGGCGUAAAGGGCUCGUAGGUGGCCAACUAAGUCAGACGUGAAAUCCCUCAGCUUAACUGGGGAACUGCGUCUGAUACUGGAUGGCUUGAGAUUGGGAGAGGGAUGCGGAAUUCCAGGUGUAGCGGUGAAAUGCGUAGAUGUCUGGAGGAACACCGGUGGCGAAGGCGGCAUCCUGGACCAACACUGACACUGAGGAGCGAAAGCCAGGGGAGCAAACGGG
rnacentral:rRNA from 1 species